rnacentral:rRNA from 1 species
AGUGAACGCUGGCGGUAGGCCUAACACAUGCAAGUCGAACGGCAGCACAGUAAGAGCUUGCUCUUACGGGUUGCGAGUGGCGUACGGGUGAGGAAUACAUCGGAAUCUACUUUUUCGUGGGGGAUAACGUAGGGAAACUUACGCUAAUACCGCAUACGACCUACGGUUGAAAGCAUGGGAUCUUCGGACCUUGCGCGAUUGAAUUAGCCGAUGUCGGAUUAGCUAGUUGGCGGGGUAAAGGCCCACCAAGGCGACGAUCCGUAGCUGGUCUGAGAGGAUGAUCAGCCACACUGGAAAUGAGACACGGUCCAGACGCCUAAGGGAGGCAGCAGUGGGGAAUAUUGGACAAUGGGCGCAAGCCUGAUCCAGCCAUACCGCGUGGGUGAAGAAGGCCUUCGGGUUGUAAAGACCUUUUGUUGGGAAAGAAAAGCAGCAGGUUAAUACCACGCUGUUCUGACGGUACCCAAAGAAUAAGCACCGGCUAACUUCGUG